GAUGAACGCUGGCGGCGUGCCUAAUACAUGCAAGUCGAGCGAACGGACGAGAAGCUUGCUUUUCUGAUGUUAGCGGCGGACGGGUGAGUAACACGUGGAUAACCUACCUAUAAGACUGGGAUAACUUCGGGAAACCGGAGUUAAUACCGGAUAAUAUUUUGAACCGCAUGGUUCAAAAGUGAAAGACGGUCUUGCUGUCACUUAUAGAUGGAUCCGCGCUGCAUUAGCUAGUUGGUAAGGUAACGGCUUACCAAGGCAACGAUGCAUAGCCGACCUGAGAGGGUGAUCGGCCACACUGGAACUGAGACACGGUCCAGACUCCUACGGGAGGCAGCAGUAGGGAAUCUUCCGCAAUGGGCGAAAGCCUGACGGAGCAACGCCGCGUGAGUGAUGAAGGUCUUCGGAUCGUAAAACUCUGUUAUUAGGGAAGAACAUAUGUGUAAGUAACUGUGCACAUCUUGACGGUACCUAAUCAGAAAGCCACGGCUAACUACGUG
rnacentral:rRNA from 1 species